GGAUGUGAGGGUGAUCUGGGUACAUCUGCUAUGCACUGAUGGCCAGAGCUGAUUCUGCUGACCUGGCUGGCCCUGCGGGUGUCCCCUUCCUCACCUCCUCAUGGGCCCCAGAGGAAGCUGUGCACUCAGGAGGAGACAACCGUCCCCAACAGAGGCUUACUGCUCUUCAGUCAAGGGUAUGCAGUAACUGCACACCCCACCCCUGCUAGACUCUUCAAACAAGUUCCAAAUAGUUAUUUCUUACAGAAUAAAGAAUAGUAACAAAAGCUUUAAUGGCUCAGUGCAAUCUACUUUCUAUACGGUUGCUGCCCCCUGCUGUUUAUGAAUCUAU
rnacentral:snRNA from 1 species